rnacentral:rRNA from 1 species
CCUACGGGAGGCAGCAGUGGGGAAUAUUGCACAAUGGGGGAAACCCUGAUGCAGCGACGCCGCGUGAGUGAAGAAGUCUUUCGGUAUGUAAAGCUCUAUCAGCAGGGAAGAAAUAGCGACCUUUGGGUCGCCAGACGGUACCUGACUCAGAAGCCCCGGCUAACUACAUGCCAGCAGCCGCGGUAAUACGUAGGGGGCAAGCGGUAUCCGGAUUUACUGGGUGUAAAGGGAGCGUAGACGGCAGCACAAGUCUGAAGUGAAAUGCCGGGGCUUAACCCCGGAACUGCUUUGGAAACUGUGCAGCUAGAGUGCAGGAGAGGUAAGUGGAAUUCCUAGUGUAGCGGUGAAAUGCGUAGAUAGUAGGAGGAACACCAGUGGCGAAGGCGGCUUACUGGACUGUAACUGACGUUGAGGCUCGAAAGCGUGGGGAGCAAACAGGAUUAGAUACCCGGGUAGUC